rnacentral:lncRNA from 1 species
ACGUACGUGCUCAGUUGACGUGGUUUAAUAUACUACUUGAAGUAACAUCACAAAGAAUUAUGAGGUCUUGGUUCGCAGAGAUUGAUACCCACUUUCACUGUACUAAUGCCUGGUGAACUUAGAAUUACUGCUACUAAUCUGAAUGUAAUGGAUUUUUAUUAUAAUCUCAUUUGGAAGACCUCUGCUCCAGCCAUAGUGAAGUUUUUCCACUUGCUACAUUUUUCAAUUUUUUUUUUUUUCAACUUAUGAAUGAUUAAAGGUCCUUUUUUAAUCAGAUUUUAUUGGUAACUUCGACACAUAUAUAUUUAUAGCUCUCCCACAGACCCGCUAGACUUGGUUAGCUGAGAGGGAGUCCUUUGUUGCAAGAAAUAUGUGGACUUGGUGAAUAGAGAAUGAACAUCACAGCUACGCACCCCAAAUCCUGG